rnacentral:misc_RNA from 1 species
AUAAAAAAAAAAAAAAAAAAAUAGCACUGCAAAAGUCCUAAGCUUGGCCUAUUAAUUUUGGGCGACUUCGAUUUUGGGUGCCGCCAAGAGACGGGGUUUUUUAGCUGGUAGUGGGCUCAUAACUUCGUCUUCACCGGAGAUAAAGAAAUCAGCUGCGAACUCCGGCAAGGCUGGUACGUUAAGAUCAAAGCCACGAUGGCUCUGGCUGAGGCUGUGUGUGUUGGUUGACCCGACACCUUCAGAGGUGGAAGUCACCCCGCUCUUUUCUGCACCGCCUUCGUAGUGACACCUCUUGUGGCCGCCCAAGGCCUGUCCUGUUGGGAAAGUCUUGUGGCAGAUGGAGCACUCGUGAGUCUUACCACUUCCGUUAGAAACGGCGGCGGUGGCGGAGGUAGUUGUGGUUGUUGAAAUUGUUUGGUCUUCGCCUCCUGCGAGUUUCCUGUGACUUGCCUUAUGACCACCUAAGGCUUGGUAAGAAGAAAAUGACUUGUUGCAUACCGUACACUUAUAGCUAGAUUUCUGCUCCUCUGAAUUUGUGGAACCCUGGAGCUGAGGAGAUGGAGUAGGGGAGCGGUGGCGGUGUGGGACGGUGGAGGCAGAGGUUGAAGCAGUGGUGCCGCGAGCUAGCAUAACAAGGCAGAGAGCGAGAUACUCUUCCUCGGUGGGUUGGUGGUGAGGACGCUUGGAGCGCUUGCCCUUGGCCCAUGGCUCACGGAGAUGGUUAAGACUGCUGGAAUCCUCAAAUUGAGAAGAUGGAGCUGCUGUGGUUGGAGAGUUGAGCGCUUCUAGUGCCAUCUUAGACGUUUUUUGGAAUUUCUGAUCUUUGAUCUGAAAGUAGAAAGAAAAUGCAGAGUUGUGCCUUGUGCUGUGAGAAUAAAGAAGUGAAGAAGUGUUAGAGAGUUAAUGAGUAGAGUGGGCGUUAAGGUGGCUUUAUAAAGGGGGGAGAGUGGAGACUGGAGCUGGAAGCUGCGUGACAAGUGGUGGGAAGGUAUGAGGAGGUUUGAAGGGCAAUAAAAAAAAAAAAGUAGA